rnacentral:rRNA from 1 species
AUUGAACGCUGGCGGCAGGCCUAACACAUGCAAGUCGAGCGGAUGAAGGGAGCUUGCUCCUGGAUUCAGCGGCGGACGGGUGAGUAAUGCCUAGGAAUCUGCCUGGUAGUGGGGGAUAACGUCCGGAAACGGGCGCUAAUACCGCAUACGUCCUGAGGGAGAAAGUGGGGGAUCUUCGGACCGCACGCUAUCAGAUGAGCCUAGGUCGGAUUAGCUAGUUGGUGGGGUAAAGGCCUACCAAGGCGACGAUCCGUAACUGGUCUGAGAGGAUGAUCAGUCACACUGGAACUGAGACACGGUCCAGACUCCUACGGGAGGCAGCAGUGGGGAAUAUUGGACAAUGGGCGAAAGCCUGAUCCAGCCACGCCGCGUGUGUGAAGAAGGUCUUCGGAUUGUAAAGCACUUUAAGUUGGGAGGAAGGGCAGUAAGUUAAUACCUUGCUGUUUUGACGUUACCAACAGAGUAAGCACCGGCUAACUUCGUG